ACAACAGGAUAAGGUCGUGCGGAUCCUUGUGAGGGGAAAGGUUUUUUGCCUUUUGAAGAGUCAGCUGCCCUACAAGUAACCAGUGGGCAAUCCUUAUGCAAUACACUAGCGGGGGCCAUGGACCGACCGCUUCACGAAACCACUCGACGAGGAGAGCUCGAGAGCCUUGCUCGUUUCGGGCUGCCUUACUUCUGUAGCUGCUUUUACCGUCGUCGAAGAGAGAGCUCCAUGGGUUCUCAAUUUCUCAUAUUCAAGUAUAUAAUGUAGAGCAGAGGGU
rnacentral:lncRNA from 1 species